UGCUAUACAUGCAGUCGAGCGCGGGAAGUCAGGGAAGCCUUCGGGUGGAACUGGUGGAACGAGCGGCGGAUGGGUGAGUAACACGUAGGUAACCUGCCCUAAAGCGGGGGAUACCAUCUGGAAACAGGUGCUAAUACCGCAUAACCCCAGCAGUCACAUGAGUGCUGGUUGAAAGACGGCUUCGGCUGUCACUUUAGGAUGGACCUGCGGCGUAUUAGCUAGUUGGUGGAGUAACGGUUCACCAAGGCGAUGAUACGUAGCCGACCUGAGAGGGUAAUCGGCCACAUUGGGACUGAGACACGGCCCAAACUCCUACGGGAGGCAGCAGUAGGGAAUCUUCCACAAUGGACGCAAGUCUGAUGGAGCAACGCCGCGUGGAUGAAGAAGGUCUUCGGAUCGUAAAAUCCUGUUGUUGAAGAAGAACGGUUGUGAGAGUAACUGCUCAUAACGUGACGGUAAUCAACCAGAAAGUCACGGCUAACUACGUGCCAGCAGCCGCGGUAAUACGUAGGUGGCAAGCGUUGUCCGGAUUUAUUGGGCGUAAAGGGAGCGCAGGCGGUCUUUUAAGUCUGAAUGUGAAAGCCCUCAGCUUAACUGAGGAAGAGCAUCGGAAACUGAGAGACUUGAGUGCAGAAGAGGAGAGUGGAACUCCAUGUGUAGCGGUGAAAUGCGUAGAUAUAUGGAAGAACACCAGUGGCGAAGGCGGCUCUCUGGUCUGUUACUGACGCUGAGGCUCGAAAGCAUGGGUAGCGAACAGGAUUAGAUACCCUGGUAGUCCAUGCCGUAAACGAUGAGUGCUAAGUGUUGGGAGGUUUCCGCCUCUCAGUGCUGCAGCUAACGCAUUAAGCACUCCGCCUGGGGAGUACGACCGCAAGGUUGAAACUCAAAGGAAUUGACGGGGGCCCGCACAAGCGGUGGAGCAUGUGGUUUAAUUCGAAGCAACGCGAAGAACCUUACCAGGUCUUGACAUCUCCUGCAAGCCUAAGAGAUUAGGGGUUCCCUUCGGGACAGGAAGAC
rnacentral:rRNA from 1 species